GAUCCUAGGGAACAAAAAUGUACCAUCUUCUUCUGCCACGCCACCUUCACCGCCAACAAGAGCUCCAACCAUUAUUUUAUCCACCGCUGGAUGGAGCUCCCAUCAUAUCUUCUUCAUCCACACACAAAACUCCUCGACGCCCAAGCUCCACCAAGGUCAGCACCCACCUUUUAUCACCACUGCCGGCUCCAUCUUCCUCCUUUCCUCACCUCCAGCCACCCCCUCUUAGGGUUUACAAAUCAAGAACCGGAGAAUCAUCCCUAUUCCCUCUCCUCUUCAAGUUAGAAGAGGAGAUCCCACUUUCUUCCUCACACAGUAGCACCCCUUCCUCCAUAUGGCUAGUCAUCUCCCUCUCUCCCUCUUUGAGUUAGAAGAUCUAGCAGCCCCUUUUCGCUUCCGCAACCUUCGUCUCUUUGGAUUAGAAGAGAAGAGAUCCUUCUCCACCUCCGCUCCAAUCAAGGAAGAGAAGCCCAGGCCCCCAUGGGCAUAGAUGAGGUGGGUGGGCUGGCGGGGGCAUUGGAGGCAAGCACUUUGCCUUUUGUCACAUAAGGAAGAGAAGCUCUGUCAACAAGCUUAGGUUCAUUCAUCUGAUGUGUUAGGUUGUUCCUAGUCUUUAGAGUGUAUGUACUGCUUGUCCAUUAUUGCUUUUGUGUUGAGCUGAUGUGUUUCAAUCAUGUGUUGAAUUCUUGUAUCAAUUGAUUAUCACCCAUGUUCAAUUUGCACGUACUUGGUUCAACUUAAUUCAUGCCUAUCAUGUAUUCGGUGAAA